GACGAACGCUGGCGGCGUGCCUAACACAUGCAAGUCGAACGGAAAGGCCCUGCUUUUGUGGGGUGCUCGAGUGGCGAACGGGUGAGUAACACGUGAGUAACCUGCCCUUGACUUUGGGAUAACUUCAGGAAACUGGGGCUAAUACCGGAUAGGAGCUCCUGCUGCAUGGUGGUGGUUGGAAAGUUUCGGCGGUUGGGGAUGGCCUCGCGGCUUAUCAGCUUGUUGGUGGGGUAGUGGCUGACCAAGGUUUUGACGGGUAGCCGGCCUGAGAGGGUGACCGGCCACAUUAGGACUGAGAUACGGCCCAGACUCCUACGGGAGGCAGCAGUGGGGAAUAUUGCACAAUAGGCGGAAGCCUGAUGCAGCAACGCCGCGUGCGGGAUGACGGCCUUCGGGUUGUAAACCGCUUUCGCCUGUGACGAAGCGUGAGUGACGGUAAUGGGUAAAGAAGCACCGGCUAACUACGUG
rnacentral:rRNA from 1 species